rnacentral:rRNA from 1 species
UACGUAGGGGCCUAGCGUUGUCCGGAUUUAUUGGGCGUAAAGAGCUCGUAGGCGGUUCGGCAAGUCGGAUGUGAAAUCUCCACGCUUAACGUGGAGGGGCCAUUCGAAACUGCCGUGACUCGAGUCCGGUAGGGGAGUGUGGAAUUCCCGGUGUAGCGGUGAAAUGCGUAGAUAUCGGGAAGAACACCUAUGGCGAAGGCAGCUCUCUGGGACGGUACUGACGCUGAGACGCGAAAGCGUGGGGAGCGAACAGG